UGUGUAAAUCUCAUCAUAUAUCAAACCCCAUUCCAAAACUCCCUCAUCUUGUAGACACACUCCAUUGCAAACCCCCUAGCGUUUCAAACACACCCCAUCGCACACCCCAUCCAAUUUGCAACAGGCUCUAUCACAAACCCCUAUCGCAGCCAGACGAUCUCACCCUCAUCACAAACCCAUCUGACCUCAAAAUCCUUCAAAAAGCCAAGAUGACUCGCAAGGCUUCAUUAUCUGGACCUAAUACACAGUGUCCCACAGCCUUAACGAGGAAAGAUAUAGCGGUGAGGUUAGCCCCUCAAGAGGACCAGCCUCAGCAUGGUCCCCGAGACCACUUUAAGGAUACUAUAGAGGUUGAAGAUGUAGCUGCUACUCAUGAUAGUAAUGU